rnacentral:pre_miRNA from 1 species
UUUUAUGGAUAAGCAAAGAAAGUGGUUUCUUGAGAUGGAAUCUAUUCGUGGUGAAGAUGCUGUGAA